rnacentral:rRNA from 1 species
UACGUAGGGUGCGAGCGUUAAUCGGAAUUACUGGGCGUAAAGGGUGCGCAGGCGGUUUUGUAAGUCAGAUGUGAAAUCCCCGGGCUUAACCUGGGAAUUGCGUUUGAAACUAUAAGACUAGAGUGCAAGAGAGGGGAGUGGAAUUCCAUGUGUAGCAGUGAAAUGCGUAGAGAUGUGGAAGAACACCGAUGGCGAAGGCAGCUCCCUGGAUUGACACUGACGCUCAUGCACGAAAGCGUGGGGAGCAAACAGGAUUAGAUACCCUGGUAGUCCACGCCCUAAACUAUGUCAACUGGUUGUCAGAUCUAAUUAAGGAUUUGGUAACGUAGCUAACGCGUGAAGUUGACCGCCUGGGGAGUACGAUCGCAAGAUUAAA